AUUGAACGCUGGCGGCAGGCCUAACACAUGCAAGUCGAGCGGAUGAAGGGAGCUUGCUCCUGGAUUCAGCGGCGGACGGGUGAGUAAUGCCUAGGAAUCUGCCUGGUAGUGGGGGAUAACGUCCUGAAACGGGCGCUAAUACCGCAUACGUCCUGAGGGAGAAAGUGGGGGAUCUUCGGACCUCUCGCUAUCAGAUGAGCCUAGGUCGGAUUAGCUAGUUGGUGGGGUAAAGGCCUACCAAGGCGACGAUCCGUAACUGGACUGAGAGGAUGAUCAGUCACACUGGAACUGAGACACGGUCAAGACUCCUACGGGAGGCAGCAGUGGGGAAUAUUGGACAAUGGGCGAAAGCCUGAUCCAGCCAUGCCGCGUGUGUGAAGGAGGUCUUCGGAUUGUAAAGCACUUUAAGUUGGGAGGAAGGGCAGUAAGUUAAUACCUUGCUGUUUUGACGUUACCAACAGAAUAAGCACCGGCUAACUUCGUG
rnacentral:rRNA from 1 species